CUCAAGUCUUUGAAAUGAUAGAAUAUCCAUCAUUGGCUGAAUGGAAAAGGCUGCCACUCGAUUUCAUUUUCCUCGUGGACGGUCUUAUAGUAUGUGGUGACAAAAUUUUAAAGUCAAACCUAAGUACGAUGAAAUGCUGAGGACUUCGCAUACUUCCUCGAUUUUCUUUGGGGCAUGGAGUCACUUCAUCAAGACUUUAUCGAGGUUGACACCACCACAACCUACUGUUUAUAUCCAUGAACCUCUCUCCAAGUUAUGGUGACUUAGACAACAAACCACUGCAUGUUAUGGCUUCCCUGCAACUAAUAGCUUUUGAAACAAUCGUUAUGCUUGUUGAAAGGAUUCCCAGACAAAAAAGAGGUCCAAACUCUUGUAAGAUCUUCACGGUUGUAAAUCAACAAUAACUCAUGGGGGUCAACAAAGGAACCCAAUCUGCUUUCAGGACAAUCUUCUAACAGAGAGACUUGAGGUAGACGCAAAGUAAAAGACAAAAAAUUUUGAUUUUUUUAGCUCGAAUAACAUGAACUUCGCCCAAGGAUUAAAAAUGAGAAGAGUGAUGUUCAACAAAAUUGGUUUAAAAGCUCAAUUGAUUCACAUAUACAAUCGUUGGUAGACGAAUAUAAAUUUACAAAUUUAAAAGGAGUGAUUUCAGGCAAGUUAUCAUCAUUAAAGUAAGGAUUUUUCACCUUCGUACCAACAAAUUUGAGUAACCAACGUCCAAAUUCUAAACCCCCUCUGCCCGCCUUCUGGCCUCCGUAAGCAAAGUAGAAGAAAAAAACAUUAUACAACAGCCGUAAAAAUUUAAGAAACAAGGAAGAAGGUGAAAUAUUUGAGUCUCAGCAGAACGAAACAAAAAAAAUAUAUGGUUAAUAAUGAUGAUACAAUGAUGCAUCAUAAAGAUGCACAUAUGCACUAAUCUGACAUAUUUGAUAAGAAUAUAACAUUUUGGCAAUGUCAAACAGUUUACAAUAAAAUAAGAAGUUUUUGUCUGCAUAAUGACUUAUUAUCGAAUGUAUUCCAUGUUGAUACAUCAAGUAAAACUGUCAUGUAAACAACAAAGUCAUAUGAUACAGUUUAUUUAAAUGACUUGUACACGGUUCCUCAAGUAGAUGUGCCCACCUAUGUAUCACAAAUCUACUAUGUGAAUGAGAUAUCAUCAAGAUCAAGUGAAAGCAAAGACGAUAAGGUUAUACUACAUCCCAUAGAUUUAGUAUGGUGUUCCUUGGUUUAGUCAUUUGUACAUCAUAUAAAAAUGGUGUACAACCUAUAUACAUGGUGUGCGCCCUUAAAACUAGAUGUACACCAAUUAAAAUUGUGAGAGAUUGAUAUUUUUGAAUUGUUACUCUUGUAGGAUGGGGCUGAUGAGUUCAAAAUGGACAAUGUUGAAGAAUAUAACCUUCUCAAUGGCUUCAAGGUGACAGAGUUUCGGAAUUUCAUGCGAUGACUUUGCAGCCGAGAAGGAGAACAAUAUGUCAGACGAUGACGUUGUAAUCAAGUAUGGGAUAAUAACCCCAUAGAUUUAGACAAAAACAAUUUGGUGCUUGCUAUUUGCAUACAUUUUACUAUUGCCACAAGAGGUUGUAUUUCACAUUACUAUUUAUUUCAUACAUUAAGUAAUUAAGCAUUAUUUUCAACUACAACUUAAAUAGGAGACACAUAAGCAUGCAACCUCUACAGGUAAGUGUACAUCACCCACACGUAAGCAUGCAUCUCAUACAACUAAGAAUUCAUCUCUUGUAUUGUCUAAAACUAUAAUCAUCCAUCCCCUACACAUAAGCAUGCACCCACAGCUAUUUUGAAAUAUUACGCGAGACCACCGGAGGUUGCUACUAAUGAGGAAGUACAUAGACAAAAAAAAAAGGCAAAUUAAAAAGGAAUUAUGUACCGAAACGAGUUUCUACAACAUGUGUAAUGUAUUUUUGGACCGCAUGCAACAUUUGCAUUAUGCAAUAAGCCCCAUCAUUUCUAACUGAUUUUGUUUUGGUUGCCAUCUCCUACCAUUUUAUCAACUUGUUUAAAGUACUUCUAAUAUUAGUCUAUGAAAAUUCUCAUGUAGUAUUUUCGAUAUUUAUUCUGCUUAAUUAUAUAUUUGUUGUCAACCAUAAACAAUACAUUUACAUGUAAAAUAAGAUUAAUCAUUCGAGGAAAAUGGUGGGUGAAGAAUUAAUGAAUAUUGUUGGAACAAUGAACUGAGAAAUUAAUGAAUAUAGUUAGAAUAAUGACUUAAUGUGAUAAAUAUAUGUUGCAUUAAUGUGUCCUACUUUUAUCCAAAACCUUACAAGCUCUAACAAAUAAGACCUACAGUUUCCUACUUAGUCUUCCAAAUUAAUGAAGUAGUCAAAAAAAUGUUGAAAUUGUUGUGGAGGAAACUUUUUGCACUACAAAAAAAAUCUACAUUGAUAGUAUAUUAUUAUAACACCUGAUACCGAACUGCUAUCUUAGAUGACUUAAAAAAAUUUGUAUUAUAUAAUAGAAUUUUUAGAUAAAUGCUAUGAUAGAGUAAAUGCUAUAAUAUCAUUAAGCGAAAACUAAUUUUCCCAAUGCUUGGAUAAAAUUAGACAAGCGCCAAAUAGGUAAAUAUUUCCCUCUUGUAAUAACAUUUUUGGAUACUUAAGUUAAGUUAGGAAAAAAUAAUAAUUAUUGCCGAGAUUUGAAAAAAAAGUCUCACUCUCUCCAGAAACAGAAAUCCUAUUAGAAAAAAAAAGAGUCACAGGAUACUCUGUUGCCAUCUCUGGCUUGCUCAUUUGUUUCUACCACUGGCUUCAUGUCAAUCCGAACUUUCAAUCAUAGCCUCCACCAUCUCUCUAGCUGCGGAUGAAGACCUAAUGACCUAAUAUCGGAGGGGGUGGUUUGGUAGAUAACAGUGUCAUCGAGUCAACGAGGAGACGCCCAGUGUAAUCUAUGGCAGCUCGUUCUUAUCUCCUUCUUCGAUGUGAUAUUCUUCCAUUGUUAUCUCAAAUUAUGAAAUUGGGGCUUGUUAUCCUUAUUUAAUUCAAUCGUCUUCUUUUAUCCUCGAUCGCUGUUGUGUUCUAUUGUUUCCACUAACCCAUGUAAUCAGGUGAUCUUUCUAUUGGCUAGAACCUGGUUUACUCUGGAUGAUCAAGUCUGGCUAUUUGUUAUGUUUCUUUAUAUCUAGGAGAUAAUACAACUAGAGACAUCAUGCUUGUAUAAACAGGCUGGUUUAAAUCCAUUGGCAUGUAUUUUUUUACAAGUUAUGAUUUUCUAACUACUAGUUAUGAACGUAUAGAAACUUUUGCGUCCUCAGUUGUGCUUCAUUUGUGCUGAUAUAUGCAAAUUCUUGUUAUUUUGAUGAUAGGCUACUUACCAACUUAUUUCACCUGCUUCACACAGCAUACUACAAUGAUCCUUAAACUAGGAAGAAGAAGAAGAACUUUGUAUGUGAUGCCUUUCAACUAGCAAAAGAGUAAGCUUGUCUUGUUCUAUCCGAGAUUAAGCUUGUCUUGUUUUGAUGUUGUUUAUAGUUUCUGCGUAAACUUGUCUUGUUUACAUGUUCUGUUUCUGUGUAAGCUUGUCUUGUUUACAUGUUCUGUUUCUGCGUAUACAUUUGCGUUGAUAUGCGAUUUUGUUGUUUAUUAACUUUUUCUAUCUGAAUUUGUGUUUGAAGAUUCAUCUGUUCAAGCUGAAGAAAAUAGAGGUGGAAAGGCUUUGUGUCAGAUUAUAAAGAGACUGAUCCAGCAUCCAUGUCUAAAAGGGACUCUCUUAGAAAAUUGAAACAGAAAAGAUCCGUCUGCAAUAAUCUUCACCAAGAGAAGCUAUACGAUCAAUCUCUAAUGAAGAUAGACGAGAAAUUAAGAUUCGAAGUUAGUUUUUUAAGACUUGGCAAGACUUAUGUUGUUACUUGUUAGUAUAAGACUUGUAUGCUGUUAGUGUGAGACUUGAAAGGAUUCUAUGUAAAAUUUAUGUUUUAUGAGCUUAAUGCAAUGUAUAUUUGAGUUAACAAAAGAAUGAUUUUAUAAAGGUUAUGUUUAAAAAUCGAAUUAUCAUUUAUAUUUAUAAACUACAUAGUUAUAUAAAUUUUAGAGUUAUAUAUAAAUAUAGGGUUUAAACCCCUAAACAUAAAUUUUAGAAUUUCAAUAUUUUCAUAAUAGAACUUCAAUAUUAAAUUUAAACACAAAACUUAAUCACUUUGAAAAUAUAAUUUCAAGUUUAAAUUAUAAACCUCAAACGCUAAAUCUUAAAUCUACACCCUAAAUCUAAUACCCUAAACCCUAAACUUAAACUCUACAUACAAAAUCAUAAAUCUAAUCUUUUCAAACAUUUAAUAUAAAUUUCAAACUCAAACUCUAAGUAUAUUCUAAAACUCAAAACCAUAUACUUAAUAAAAUAUGCUUAACCUAAACCCAAAACCAUUAAAAAUCAGCAGUCUUUACAUCAUUAUUUAUAAAUUUAAAUCUAAUCAUUUUGUUAAUAUUAUAUAAUUAGAUUAUAAAUUCAAAUGAAUAACUAUUGUUAUAUAAAUA